AGUGAACGCUGGCGGUAGGCCUAACACAUGCAAGUCGAACGGCAGCACAGUAAGAGCUUGCUCUUACGGGUGGCGAGUGGCGGACGGGUGAGGAAUACAUCGGAAUCUACUUUUUCGUGGGGGAUAACGUAGGGAAACUUACGCUAAUACCGCAUACGACCUACGGGUGAAAGCAGGGGAUCUUCGGACCUUGCGCGAUUGAAUGAGCCGAUGUCGGAUUAGCUAGUUGGCGGGGUAAAGGCCCACCAAGGCGACGAUCCGUAGCUGGUCUGAGAGGAUGAUCAGCCACACUGGAACUGAGACACGGUCCAGACUCCUACGGGAGGCAGCAGUGGGGAAUAUUGGACGAUGGGGGCAAGCCUGAUCCAGCAAUACCGCGUGGGUGAAGAAGGCCUUCGGGUUGUAAAGCCCUUUUGUUGGGAAAGAAAAGCAGCAGGUUAAUACCCCGCUGUUCUGACGGUACCCAAAGAAUAAGCACCGGCUAACUUCGUG
rnacentral:rRNA from 1 species